UGAAAACUUUUAUUAUUUACCAAAUUUUGAAUUUGAAUUUGAAUCGGUUUCGAGCUAACUCGAGAUUAGCAACUAUAAUCGAGGUGACGUGGCAUCACUAGCAGAGGAUCACUGUAGCUUAAUUACCCGGGCGUCACAAUUAGGGUUGCAUUUGUCAGUUGGUCGAUGUCAUGGAACACUUGUGCAUUCCAAGAAUAACAAACAAAUAUUCACGGGAUUGCGACAAUCAAAGGGUGUCAAACGCGCCGAAACCUCUUGGGGAGGUUGCAAGAACAUGAUUUGAAGAUAAGGUUGUUAAUCGGUUGCCCAACCGCAAGGAUGCAGAGCUGAUCCCGGACCUCAUGGACGUGGCAGCAGCCAAAGAAGAGGUGGAAACAAUAUCCAAAUGGAUGGGGGCACCAUAGCGAGUCAGGUUAGUCUAGAACAAGUUAUGAUAGGAAGUUCAGCUUCGUGUUGAGAUGAUCAUGCAACCGCAGCCAGGCUAGAGGACAACAUUGGCGCAACCGAGGUGUUAUUGACCUGGUAGGUGAAGUAGCGGUGUGCACCUCAAUUUGAGAACCAUACUUCAUCGAUGAGGAAGAGCUUGUCCUGGCCACCCAACAUAUCAAGAUCCUGCAACAAAGAAUGAAGUGGAACAACUUCAGUGAACGACCAAGAUUUAUUGACUAUAGAGGAGGGGGGUGAAUAGGACAUUGUAAAAUUUCCAGCAAAAAAAUAGAGUAAACGACAUAUAAGAAGAACUAGAACCAGUUCGGAGAAUAUAACUAAAGAAACAGAAGCAGAGCUAGACAAGAACAAGAGUAAAGACAAAAUCAAAAGAGAGGAACAAGUAUGAACUCACAUGAACAAGUAUAAACUAGCAUGAACAUAGCAAGAACAAGUGAUACUUGAAUAAGUAAAGGAUUGCAGAGAAGACAUCUGUUGUGGUUUCUUAAGUUCAAGUCGUCUUUGUCUGGAGAGGUUGAGCACCAUGCACCAAUGUCACUUAGGCUUGACCUAGUUCUUCUUGAGCAAGUUGCUCCAAACUCAAAGAAUUACUCAUGGUAGAUCAUGUGAUGAUAUCUGAACCGUUAUAAAUUGGUUUGUGGCUGAUCCACAAUUCGGAUGCUAACAAAUUGAAACAUAAUUGUCAUGGAAAACUAUUUCACUCUUAAUGAACCUAGUACCUAUGGAAACUUCAAGGACCGAGUUCCCUUACUCACAAUAAAGAAUCUAAGAAUAGUGACACACGUUUCACUUGGAAAACUACGAUCAGGAGUACUCAACCACGCUGAAUACUUGGACGUAUUCAACAGAGGUCACCAAACGUUGAUGUUUCAUCUCGAAGAGAAUUCAAAGGAUUUUAAAGAAGUUUCACCGUCUAUCCAUGAUAUACAAUCCCUCUUAAUAGGAUGAUUUUCCCUAUAGUCAAGAAUAAGUUAAAGAAGAACCAGGAACAAAAAGCUCCACUAAGUCUUGUCACAACAAACCAAGUCUUCAAUGUCUUCAAUAUUUUUAGGGGUCGACACCCUUUAGUUAAACCAAUAUCCUCUAGGACUAUGCACCUAUUUAUAACCAAUAAACACAUUAGUCCCUUAAUUGUUUGUCACUAAUCAUUAAAACCCACUAGGGGGCACUAGAUGCUCUUUCACCCGAUGCCAGCCAUGUCAGUUAACCUAUAUCCAUCUGAUCUUGCAUAAUUGUAGAAAGAAAGGAAUUUGGUUGGUAUGGUGGGAGAAUGUGGUAGGGUAAACAAUGGUUCAAGAGCCACCCAAUGAUCCCGCCAUAUUAAGGUGUUGCAUGAUAGUCGACUCUACAAUCGAUCGCGAGGAGAAGUUGUUGCAGCUCUUUCAACAUGAACGAUGAGAGGUAGUAUGGUUAUUCUGCGGAGGAAUAUAUAACUGAUGAGUGGAGCAACCAUAUUUUCCAUGGCAGGCUAGUGAGUAGAGGAAUUUAAGUGCAAAAAUUGACAAUUUUUUGGCAGAUGUGCAAGUUUUAAUACUCGGACCACCUGAUUCUCUUGGAAAUAGACAUUGUCCCAAGGUGACUAGGUAUUGAGCUCCAGAGUAUGCACUCAUCUCUAGUCCAAAAGAAAGAAUGCAUGAUCUUGUCAAAUUGUUAUAUGACUAGAUGAGAACUAGGCUGUAGCCUAGUGGCAAGGGAGCGCAGUGGCGUCUCCAGCAACCAGGGUUCGAGCCACGUCGGGGACGAAUUUCUGGUUUCUCACAAGGGAUGCUUUCUCCUAUAUCAAUAAACCAUAGGUGCUAGUGCCCAUGAGUUUCAUCUUUUUUUUUGGUUAUAUGACUAGAUAGGUGAUUAGGGAGGAGGAUAUCUAGAAACAGAUAAAUAAAACCCAUUAACAGUCGUGCAAUGUGCGCCCUCCCGCGACGUCCACGUCGGACUAGCUACCAAACAAAAAAAAGUUUGUUUUGUUGAGAAGAAACAGAGAAAGAGAUUGGGAGCCUCCUCUCUCCGCAGGCAAGCCUCCUCUCCCGUGAGCCCUCUCUUGACCCGCGACUCCUCGCCGCCGCCGCCACUCACGCCGGCCGAUUCCGGCGAGUCCCGACGGCAGGUGGCAGACUGACGACCUCCCCUUUCUCUGCUCCUUCCUCCCAUCCCUCCAGAUCCGGCCUCCCGUGCUCGCUGCCGACCCUCAGCCAUUGCUAGGGUUUCGGGCGCGGCGUCCCCUCCAUCGCCACUACCCCUCCCCUCCAGUCGACGCUGAGCGUGCACAACGUGGACGAGCUGAUCGCGACGGAACCAGAGUCGCUCCAGGCCGGGGUCUGAGAUGAUGUCCAGCAGGCCGAGGGGUGGCCAUGGGAGGAGCAUCCCACAAUGAAAUCCAUUUUCUCUUUGUGUGUGUGUGUUGGAUUAGGAUUUGGAUCGAGGAAGGAGAGAUGGUGUGGGGAUGAGACGGUGGACAGAGGAAGAGGGCGGAUCUGGAUCCAGGUAGAGUGGCCAGAGGAGCAGGCCACCAUCCCUCUUUACCUUCCACCCAACACCAACGUGGUUGUUGACUGCAGAAUCUGUGGUGAUCUACACUCUGUUGGUUCUUUCAUUCAGAGGGUGCUAGAGCUGCACUUAACUUGCUAGCAUCAUCGCCUUGUUCUUCCUGGCAACGAGUGAGGAUGGUGAGCCACAACACCACAAGGUUCUACAAAUGGUUCUCAGAGGUUUGACGGCAUAACAUCGCGCAGUCGAGCAAGUUUUGGUCAAUGUUUCAUGGCUCAAUCAACGAAUGGUGUUAAAACAGAAAAUCUUGAAAGCAAGAUCUUAAAUGAUUCCUACCUCGAGCUUCCAUCGAACACGACUUCGGUUGUUUCUUGGUUGUUCAAGUAUGCUCGAUGGUUCUUCAUUGAGGGUUGAGAUGGACCAUGCACUGGUUACAUCUUCUCCUAUCUCUCCAUGUUCUUAAUUUUCUUAUGCAAUGAGUGCUGGAUUUAGACAACAGUUUGCGCAGUCCAUGCUUUUACAUUGAAAAUGAGAAGAUGAAAUGACGGGUUUGGACAGUGCUGGUGUUUCUUUUUUUUUUGGGCAUUACAUUACUAAAAUGAACUAUAUUUACAAUUGUUGAACUCCAUAGCUAAUAAGAUGAUUAUUUAUUUUUUUGAGCAUCCGAUAUGGAACAAUUUUACCAUAUGUGGCUGCUUUCGGGUUAGUAAGUUUUGUUCUUCAUUAUAUUUUUCUUAUUAUUCUGAAUGCCACCAUGGACUCUUAGUUUCUUAGUAGUAUAUGCUUAAUUUGCUUUACUGGAGACAUGCAAUUCCCUCAAACUGCAAGGAAUGGUGUAAUAUAAGGAGAAAAUCAGAUCUGUCUCACACCUACCUUCAAUAAUAAGAGGCCUGAUCCUAAUCUGUUGUGCUACCAUGUACAAACAUUUACAAAUUAGAGUCAAGGUUAGAAUCUUGUUAUAACCAUUUAUAAAUUAUGUGUACCUUGAACCCACAUGCCAUGGUACCAUUUAAUAACAUGUACAAACCACCAAGGACUUUGCUAGAUUUUUAUAUUUACAUAGAACUAAUAUUGAUCCAAUCUCAAUGCUCUUUUCCUUAAACUGAGUAGGUCAUAUAGAUAGGAGUGAAGAAUUAUUUCUGAAGUGGUCUGUCAUAGUUAAUACACUCCAGCCCCAAAAAUUGAUGCUAGAUGACACUGUUAUUUCUGCGUGUAGCUCACUACUUGAUUCACUUGUAGAUAGAGCCAUUCCUUGCAUAUGCCUUCUCCUCUAUUGUGUGCUCAGUUUCUUUAAGUUCCGUAGACAAAAGAAAAACAAGUUCAUUUUAAUUACAAUGGCUCUCGGUUGAAAGUUUUUGUUGGGGAACGUAGCAGAAAUUUAAAAAUUUCUACGCAUCACCAAGAUCAAUCUAUGGAGAGACU